UACGUAGGGGGCAAGCGUUAUCCGGAUUUACUGGGUGUAAAGGGAGCGCAGGCGGUAGAUCAAGUCUGAUGUGAAAACCCGAGGCUCAACCUCGGGAUUGCAUUGGAAACUGGUUUACUUGAGUGUCGGAGAGGUAAGCGGAAUUCCUAGUGUAGCGGUGAAAUGCGUAGAUAUUAGGAGGAACACCAGUGGCGAAGGCGGCUUACUGGACGAUAACUGACGCUGAGGCUCGAAAGCGUGGGGAGCAAAC
rnacentral:rRNA from 1 species